rnacentral:rRNA from 1 species
AUUGAACGCUGGCGGCAUGCCUUACACAUGCAAGUCGAACGGCAGCGCGGGGCAACCUGGCGGCGAGUGGCGAACGGGUGAGUAAUAUAUCGGAACGUACCCUGGAGUGGGGGAUAACGUAGCGAAGUUACGCUAAUACCGCAUACGAUCUAAGGAUGAAAGCAGGGGACCGCAAGGCCUUGUGCUCCUGGAGCGGCCGAUAUCUGAUUAGCUAGUUGGUGGGGAAAGGCCUACCAAGGCAUCGAUCAGUAGCUGGUCUGAGAGGACGACCAGCCACACUGGAACUGAGACACGGUCCAGACUCCUACGGGAGGCAGCAGUGGGGAAUUUUGGUACAAUAGGGCGAAAGCCUGAUCCAGCAAUGCCGCGUGAGUGAAGAAGGCCU